AACUUUAGCUAAAAUAUUAAUCUUCGUGUAUUAUUUCUGAUCCACGUCAUUCAAGUAGCACAUAGUGUUACCUUCAAUCCUUAACCUGCAAAAAUUGUUAUUUGCAAGGUUGAGCUUGACAGCCCAACAAAAUCUUACAGUUUUUAUGCAUCACGUAGCACAUAGUAACAUGCUCAACAUAUAUCUCAUAAACAUUGGACUAACAUAACAUACAUGUUACAGUUCAUAUAACAAGUAUAAAGAUUGAGUUCCUUACUCAAUCAGCAUGCUUUACUCAAUCAACGUAGUCAUAAGUUGACUUUAACAUUUCAUACAUUCAACAUAUAUAUAACACAACAUGCUCUUUGCAAUAAAGAUUUAAAACGGUUAAUCACUAAGUUCACAUAACAAAUAGGAACUGAAAGACUUGCCUUGAUCGUUGUUUACCAAUAACAGUUUAAUCAGCUUACAGUUAUCUGCACUUCACAUGCCCUACACAAUUAUAUAAUCAUGCAAAUCAACUAUUAGUCACAUAGCAACGCAUAGUAAUUGUAAUGUAAACUUUAAUCUAUGUCUCAUAACCCUUCCUAUCAUAAAUACACAAUGUUCAAUUUGAUUGUGUUAACUUUCAACUUAUAUCUCACUGUAUUUCAUAUUUGAAGUUUAUUCAAGUGUUUAAGUCUUGGUAGGAAUCAUUAUUGGUCUUAUAUUAACACUAUUCAAUAACUUAUUAUUUUCAUUUCAUUUGAUUUAAAACACUUUUUACGUUCAUUAUCACUUAUCACGGCGUUUCGACGUUUAUUUGUCACACGCCCAAUUUGUCUCUCUUGUGUGUGCUUAGUAUGCGUAUACAACUUAUCUAAUAUAUCAUUUAUUAAUGUUAAGCAUCAUUAUACUUCAUAAUAUUCAUGUUCUAUAUCUUAGAACAACAUCUAUUAUCGUCGACAUCACUAUACUUGUGUAUGUACAUGUCCGACGCCCUCCGAUUGCCUCCGAAUACACAUUAGUCACAAAGAUGACCAUUUUGACUACUGUUACCGACCUCAAAUUGAAAAACUUAAAGAAUAAAAGUUGUAGGUCUAUUCGUUAUCGUUCCGGAUCAUCUUCAAUCACCUCAAUCGGAGUUCGUAUGAAAACGUUAUGCCUAUUUUACUAAAACAGGUCAAAGUAGUCACACUUGACAUACUUUGGGCGCAGCUGCGCCCAAUUAAGCCUUGGGCACAGCGCAACUGCGCCCUACAGUGCAGCUGCGCCUCAAAUGACUUAGGGCACAGCCCAGCUGCGCCUGUUAGCAGAAACGGGACCUGAAGAUACUAUUCUUCGCGAUUUUUGACCCUUUUUCUCCUACUAAUCUUCAUAACUUGAGUUAUACACAUCCAAAUUA
rnacentral:lncRNA from 1 species